CAAAGAGCUGCUGUUCUGCGGCCGGCAUCGCCUCCCCUCCCUCCUGGGCCGCUGCCCCAGCUCAGCCUCAGUCUCAACUAAGCUACACUACUCCAAGGGUGAGAUUCAGAGCACGUUUGCCUUGGGCGUGGAGGAGCGUCGUUUUCACAUCAGCAUCCGGUUGGUAGCUGCUACGGCCAGUCUCGCUAACUUCAUGAAGCUGGAACAGACUUUCCUACAGGUGCAGCUCACCUGGAACGGAGGACAGCCUGUGACCCUGCAGCUCACCUGGGCCAACAGGUUCUCAGCACACAGCACCCCCUGGGACGGCUGCCUGGCCACCUCCCCGGGGCAGGAAACCUGGGGCCUGAACACCCUCUGGGCGUGCGGGGCCGUAACACAGACCCCAGACGUGUUCACUGAAUGGCUCGACCUGUCCUGGGGCCAGCAGCGCAUGAGGCAGAACUUGACAUACAAGAGGCAUCGGCCAUCUCAGCCAGACAAGAUCACCGUGGGGGCCAUGCUGGAGCACGUCCUCGGGGCUUCUUGUGCCCGGCAGAGCUUCUGGGGAGAAGUACAGACUGACUACGCACACUGGCUGCGGCACUCCCUCCGCCCGGGGCUCCGUGACCUGCCCAGGGUACAACCGGCAGGCACCCUGGAUGGUGUGGCAGGCCGCCUCCUGCGACUGUCCCAGGCAGGGCUGGAGGCCGUGCAGGUGGCCCACUGCAUGCUGUCCUGGACUGAGGCCAUGUUCCCAUGGGCACUGAAGAGGCUCUGCAGACUCCUGCUGGACUUGUACGGCUUCACAGCCAGGUAACGCAGGGUUGGGAGUGGCGCGGCCGGCGUUCCUGCCACGUAUCAGGCGCAGUGCUGAAUGCUUCCACACGCUCUGACCCACUGACUCCUCUGACCGCGCUGCACAGAGGCUUCUUCACUCCCCAUUUCACAGAAGAGGAAGCUGAGGUUUCUCCCUCAUUCCACAGAGACCUCGUGAGCACAGCCCCAGUGCAGGCAGGAUUUUAGGAGCUGCUGCAGAGGAGCGCAGUGGGCGAGGCUGACCCCUGCCUUCAGGAAGCUCAGUUUUACUUAGACGUGAAGCACAAGAAAA
rnacentral:lncRNA from 1 species